UAGAUAGCUAUUAUCAGUGUUCUCACUUUACAGAUGAGGGUGGAACCGCCCGCCAAGAGGUUAAAACCUGGCAGAAGGUCACCUAGUAAGGGACUAAACCACAUUUCAAAGCCCUGCGGUGCCAUUCAGACGAACAGGAACAGGAACGCCAGCUGCCGAGCUCACAGAAGAGUAUCGAGAGAUCCCAGAAGAACGCUAGCACAGCGAAUGAGAGCAGAAGUAGGUGAGAAGGACACCUGACAAAAGACACAUGUUUUACAGUCACAUGUUUUACAGUUAAGCCUACAACAACCCAGCUAAGGACAGCUAAGCUGGAGGCACGGAAGGGAGAUGGCAGAUGCCUCCAACUUCCUAAAUCGGAAGAAAUGAGAAGAGAAACGUUCAGAAGCUAACGUUUAAGACAGGCAAGAUAAGGAGAACAGGGAAACUUCUAGUUUUAGGGGGUUUCUGGCUAAGGCUCUCCCCGCUGGUCAUGAAAUGGCCCUUGGUCCGCCCACUGGACUGGGUUACGCAGGAGACAGACUGGCUCUUUUGCCGUGUGCAGCAGCGCCACCUAGCAGAAGUGGGGUAAAAUUGCAUCAUAACCACCAGGGCCUUCAAAAGACUGAAGGACCCACCAGACCAGCAGUUGCCUAAGGCUGACAUGGCUGUGAUAAAGAGUGUCUGCCCUUGCUGUGGGAAAGAGAAGUGAAGCUGACCUUCGCAGAGGGUUCCGCCAGGGGAACUGCUCCAUCCAUCUCAUAAAGAGCCGUAAUGGAGACAGACUGGCAGACGACGGCAGAUGAGGGUACAGUCUCAUCUCAGAGACGUCCCGAGGUGGGAGAAAGCCUAGGACUUUAAAGAGGGCGGAAUUCUGGACUCGCAGUCUGUUUAAGGAGGGAAGUCACCCAGGCUUGAGUAAGGAAGGGACCUGUGUAGAUUCACAGCCCAAAUUGCGAGUGUCCACACGAGAACCCACGUCUCUCCAGAGUCACUGAGCCAGGGAAGAGCAAGGCAAGUCCUCAGCAACCAGCUCCCUGGAAACGGCCAGUUGGCCAGGCCCAGCCCUCUCCUGAGGCUGUGCACUCAGAAGACUCCUGACCAUCUCCACGUCUCUACAGGACCCCUGCCAAUCUACCUGGCCUUCUGCGUCUCAGAUUCCUUAUCUAUCACAUGGGGAUACUAACAAUGGUAAAUGCUCAGUCCAACACUGAGCUCACACUUAAUGCUCAAUAAUUAGAUAUUAAAGAUGACACUUUUAAUACUGAUGUUUUAAUAUGGUAAUAUUACUGGUGUGCUUCUCAAACUACUGUUAAUAAAUAUGGUGGCCCCA